CGCAAGCCUGACGGAGCAAGACCGCGUGGGGGAGGAAUGCCUUAGGGUUGUAAACCCCUUUUAUCUGGGAAGAACAAAAUGACGGUACCAGAUGAAUAAGCCUCGGCUAACUCCGUGCCAGCAGCCGCGGUAAUACGGAGGAGGCAAGCGUUAUCCGGAUUUAUUGGGCGUAAAGCGUCCGCAGGUGGCAAUGUAAGUCUGCUGUCAAAACCCAGGGCUCAACUCUGGUCAGGCAGUGGAAACUACAUAGCUAGAGUUCGGUAGGGGCAAAGGGAAUUCCCGGUGUAGCGGUGAAAUGCGUAGAGAUCGGGAAGAACAUCGGUGGCGAAAGCGCUCUACUGGACGGCAACUGACACUCAGGGACGAAAGCUAGGGGAGCG
rnacentral:rRNA from 1 species